rnacentral:rRNA from 1 species
UACGGGGGGGGCAAGCGUUGUUCGGAAUUACUGGGCGUAAAGGGCUCGUAGGCGGCCUGCUAAGUCGAACGUGAAAUCCCCGGGCUCAACCCGGGAACUGCGUCCGAUACUGGCAGGCUUGAAUCCGGGAGAGGGAUGUGGAAUUCCAGGUGUAGCGGUGAAAUGCGUAGAUAUCUGGAGGAACACCGGUGGCGAAGGCGGCAUCCUGGACCGGUAUUGACGCUGAUGCGCGAAAGCCAGGGGAGCAAACGGG